rnacentral:lncRNA from 1 species
GGCCUAGGUCCUCAGGGGUGUGGGGAGCUGAGUUUACAGAGGGGCCCAUCCUCUCUGCCCCAGUUGGCCUCUGACUUCUUCUCCCAUCAGAUCUCAGAGCUGCAGCCUUCUCUGCCCCCAGGGUCCCUGCAGCCCCUCCUCAGCUGCUCGCUAGAUGCACCCAGAUGGGAAGCGUUGGAGUCUCUGUCCCAAAGCCUCAGAGAUCAGUACCGCUGCCGCCGCUGCCUCCUCCUCAAGCGCCUUGACCUCACUACAUCUGCUUUCCACUGGAGUGACCGGGCAGAGGUGUGGUGGGCAGGGGACCAUGCAGAAUUGGAGAGGCCCAGUUGUGGGGGCUGCAGUUGCAGGGAGGAGGAAUGAGGGCCAGGAGUAUCACCCUCUUGCAGGUUCUCAGGCCAUGGACAUUUUAUAAUUUUUUGAGGUUUGGGGCUCCUAGAAUCUCAGGGUCCCAGGGUAUUGUUGAAUUCCCAGCUCUGAGCUGGCAGUAUAUUCAGAGGCAUACCCCAUCAUUUUUUUUUUUUUUUUGAGACGGGGUCUCACUCUGUUGCCAGGCUGGAG